CAGGUAACUAUUAUUUUGUGGAAUAAUUUUUUUUAUUAUAAUAAUUAUAUGAGGAUAUAAUUUAAAUAUUUUUAUUAAAAAAGUAACAAAUUAAAUUAGUAUAAUAUGAUGUAUUUAUGGAAUAAUUAUGUUAAAAGCAGUUGUGCGCUUUUUACUGGUGUGAAAAUUUAAUUAUUUGACGGACUGUCCUUAGGGCAAGUUGUCAUGGAUUUAAAGCCUUUUCGUCAAAAAGUUCAUGUAUGGCGCUCGUCCGUCAUCUGCACAAACGAGUUAGCUGAUUCAUCUCGAGGCACAAUUUCGCAUGUUGGCAACGACUGAGAAUAAAAAGAACGGCACACAAUGAGUUAUACAAAUUGGCAUAAAUAACGAGUAUUUUAUUAAUAAUGAAAAA
rnacentral:lncRNA from 1 species